GUCACUACACACAAAGCUUCUUGAGAACUGGGGCUGUCUUUUGCGUUUAUAAUCCCAGACUUGAUAGAUUAGAUUAUCUGAUAGAUUAUCUGUUGAAUGCUUUAACAUAUACUCCAAAUAUCCCAGAAAAAAACAAAACAAAAAAAACA